AUGUUCUCCCUCGCUGACACCACCUCAUGCUUUGGCCACUCCUCACCUGGGCCUCACACCUUUGCUCUCCACAGUGCCCCCAGCACUCGCACAGCAGGUCUUCAGUAUUUGCUGACUGACUCAAUGACUGACAGAUUCCAGGAGCAAAGUGGGAAGGUGGGAUGGAGGAUGCGACUGGGACACAAACCUCCUCAUGGUUUCCUUCCAGGUAACACCAAAGCAAUGGAUUACUGUCUCCCUAGCACCUGCGACAACGUCUGCCACAGACACAACCAACGUUGGGGUCAACCCAGGACUCACAGCCUGAGACGUCCGGCAGCCCAAUUCUCUUGCAUUCUGGAGGUCCCAGGUCUUGGAACCCUAUCAAGGCAGACGUGAUCCACCAGGUGCUAGAGGAUCUGGGGUCCUUUUCCAAGGGACAUUCUGCACAUUGUCUGGGUUCCUCUUGCUCUUUAUAAACACUUUUGGCCAAAGAACAGGGCGAGCUCAAAGCUGGUUUCCCAGGGCCGUCACUAGCACACUUAAUCCAAGGUAUUGCCCUACAUCUCGACCCCUGACCCCAGCUACUGGACGUGAUAGUCCACGCAGGCCUUUCUGAAGAGGGGCUGUUUGUGUUGAGAUUUGAAGGAAUGAGUCAAGUGAUGAUGGAGAGAACAUUCCAGAGGAGAAUGGGAGUGAACUUGGUGAGUCUGAGGAACAGAAAGGCUAGUGCCGUGAGUGUGGAAAAAGAAGGUUUGCAUGGAAAAGCUUGAGCCACAACUCUGGUCCCCAAGAAGGGGUCUAAAAGGCUGUACUCCUGGUCGAUCACCGCCUCCAGCUGUAACGUGAUGCUUUUCUGGUCUCCAAGGCAGCAGGGAUGGGGAAGGAAGAGAAUGGGUGUCUGCCAUUGUGGCUGGGGGGUUCUGGCAGCAGGGGGCCAGGCCAUGGGGCCCUGGUGCUUGACUGCAGUUUGGUGGGUUCACUACUCUUAAAAAUGGCAGGAUGGAGCCAUGAGUCCUUAGAGCUAAGUCCCAUGUGAACAGUCCUGUGGAGGCACCCUAGCUUAGACAGCCACCUCCAUCCCCUUCUGAGAGCCCUGCUAAGGGGAAAGUGCUGCAGCCCAGGGCUGAAGGGACAUGGGGUGGGUGGGGAGGACCCAAAGGGCUCCAAGCCACCUCAGCAGGUGGCUUUGGAAGGGGCUAAAAGCCCUGCAUCAGGAAGCUCAAAUCAAGUCCCCAGCAAGCUCUGCACUUCUCUGCAGCCCUGCCCACCCCAGUCCUCCUCCUCCAAACCGAAAUAUGCAGGCCAAACAAUGGGAAAUGGCUCCGCUCCAAAGAUUCAACUCACAAGGCACGUGUUGCCUCCUGUUUGCCUGCUGGUAUGUGAAGGAAGCUGUUUC
rnacentral:lncRNA from 1 species